rnacentral:rRNA from 1 species
CGCCUGGGGAGUGCGGCCGCAAGGUUAAAACUCAAAUGAAUUGACGGGGGCCCGCACAAGCGGUGGAGCAUGUGGUUUAAUUCGACGCAACGCGAAGAACCUUACCUGGCCUUGACAUCCAGAGAACUUUCCAGAGAUGGAUUGGUGCCUUCGGGAACUCUGAGACAGGUGCUGCAUGGCCGUCGUCAGCUCGUGUCGUGAGAUGUUGGGUUAAGUCCCGUAACGAGCGCAACCCCUAUCCCUGGUUGCUAGCAGGUAAUGCUGAGAACUCCAGGGAGACUGCCGGUGACAAACCGGAGGAAGGUGGGGAUGACGUCAGGUCAUCAUGGCCCUACGGCCAGGGCUACACACGUGCUACAAUGGCGCGUACAGAGGGCUGCCAACUCGCGAGAGUGAGCCAAUCCCUUAAAACGCGUCGUAGUCCGGAUCGGAGUCUGCAACUCGACUCCGUGAAGUCGGAAUCGCUAGUAAUCGCGAAUCAGAAUGUCGCGGUGAAUACGUUCCCGGGCCUUGUACACACCGCCCGUCACACCAUGGGAGUGGAUUGCACCAGAAGUAGUUAGUCUAACCUUCGGGAGGACGAUUACCACGGUGUGGUUCAUGACUGGGGUGAAGUCGUAACAAGGUAACCGUA